rnacentral:rRNA from 1 species
UACGGGAGGCAGCAGUGGGGAAUAUUGCACAAUGGGCGCAAGCCUGAUGCAGCGACGCCGCGUGAGGGAUGACGGCCUUCGGGUUGUAAACCUCUUUCAGUAGGGAACAAGGCUAGUCGUUGACUGGUUGAGGGUACUUGCAGAAGAAGCGCCGGCUAACUACGUGCCAGCAGCCGCGGUAAUACGUAGGGCGCAAGCGUUAUCCGGAAUUAUUGGGCGUAAAGAGCUCGUAGGCGGUUUGUCGCGUCUGCCGUGAAAGUCCGGGGCUCAACCCCGGAUCUGCGGUGGGUACGGGCAGACUAGAGUGAUGUAGGGGAGACUGGAAUUCCUGGUGUAGCGGUGAAAUGCGCAGAUAUCAGGAGGAACACCGAUGGCGAAGGCAGGUCUCUGGGCAUUAACUGACGCUGAGGAGCGAAAGCAUGGGGAGCGAACAGGAUUAGAUACCCUGGUAGUCCAUGCCGUAAACGUUGGGCACUAGGUGUGGGGGACAUUCCACGUUUUCCGCGCCGUAAGCUAACGCAUUAAGUGCCCCGCCUG